rnacentral:rRNA from 1 species
GACGAACGCUGGCGGCGUGCUUAACACAUGCAAGUCGAACGGAAAGGCCCUGCUUUUGUGGGGUGCUCGAGUGGCGAACGGGUGAGUAACACGUGAGUAACCUGCCCUUGACUUUGGGAUAACUUCAGGAAACUGGGGCUAAUAUCGGAUAGGAGCUCCUGCUGCAUGGUGGGGGUUGGAAAGUUUCGGCGGUUGGGGAUGGACUCGCGGCUUAUCAGCUUGUUGGUGGGGUAGUGGCUUACCAAGGCUUUGACGGGUAGCCGGCCUGAGAGGGUGACCGGCCACAUUGGUACUGAGAUACGGCCCAGUCUCGUACGGGAGGCAGCAGUGGGGAAUAUGACACAAUGGGCGGAAGCCUGAUGCAGCAACGCCGCGUGCGGGAUGACGGCCUUCGGGUUGAAAACCGCUUUCGCCUGUGACGAAGCGUGAGUGACGGUAAUGAGUAAAGAAGCACCGGCUAACUACGUG